AACAACUCUGAACAGAACUCCAACUCUGAAACUAGCAAACUAGCAACCUUUUUUGAUAACUAAGUGAGCAACAUGUUUUAGCUGUAAGCAGACAUUAGAUAACAUAAGCUAAAAGCAUCAAUGAAAUUAGAAAGAAGCAGAAAGAAACAUGGAAGCAGAAGCGCUAGCUAUAGCCGUUUUGUGGACUUUUACCCCAUCUUUAAACCAGUCGACAUGAGCAGAGGGAUCAUGAGAGACUUCGCAUCUCAGGACAAUGGGAGCGCCUUCUUCGACGGACUUGUUCCGGUCAUUCUCUUGGAGCUCUGAGAACUUCACAGUGAACUGGAUGUCAUCAUCCUUUGAUUCGCAACGGUAUACACCCGUGUGAGCCCGCUCGGCUGAUGAGACAACUAGACUCCUCAAAUUUCCCUCUGACUGGAUGUCUACUCCACUAUGAGGUAGGAGCUUUGUUCCAUCCUUGUACCA